GAUGUUGAUUUUCAUAGAUGUUUAACAGGUUGGUCCUUUCUGUAGUGUUAGUGCUGCUCAUGAAAUUGGUGAGAGUGUUCGUCAUCAGAUACACAAAAAUCAUAGUCAAGUUUGCUGAAGUUUUCAUUCACAUUGAUCCAUCAUAGUCUAACUGCUCUAUUUCGGAAGAAAGAAAGAAUUUGAAGGGCUUAGAAGGCAGAGACUCGAACGGUCUUUCCAGGCAUCAAGAAGCUGAAACCAUUGUGUCUGACAUUUUGUCAAAGCAAUUCUCUAAGAUGUCCCUAGAACACAUCACACUCCACUCAUUGCAAGGGAAGAUAUUGGUUCAAGCUCUAGUCUCAAUGCCUGCUUAGAUGCUUAUUAGGUACUCCCAUCUUUCUAUCAUC